ACAGGUGCUGCAUGGCUGUCGUCAGCUCGUGUCGUGAGAUGUUGGGUUAAGUCCCGCAACGAGCGCAACCCUUGUCAUUAGUUGCUACGAAAGGGCACUCUAAUGAGACUGCCGGUGACAAACCGGAGGAAGGUGGGGAUGACGUCAAGUCCUCAUGGCCCUUAUGGGUAGGGCUUCACACGUCAUACAAUGGUACAUACAGAGCGCCGCCAACCCGCGAGGUGGAGCUAAUCCCACAAAACCGAUCGUAGUCCGGAUCGCAGUCUGCAACUCGACUGCGUGAAGUCGGAAUCGCUAGUAAUCGCGAAUCAGAAUGUCGCGGUGAAUACGUUCCCGGGUCUUGUACACAG
rnacentral:rRNA from 1 species